rnacentral:rRNA from 1 species
AGUAAUGCGUGACCAACCUGCCCCAUGCUCCAGAAUAGCUCUUGGAAACGGGUGGUAAUGCUGGAUGCUCCAACUUGACGCAUGUCUUGUUGGUAAAGUGUUUAGUGGCAUGGGAUGGGGUCGCGUCCUAUCAGCUUGUAGGCGGGGUAAUGGCCCACCUAGGCUUCGACGGGUAGCCGGCCUGAGAGGGCGGACGGCCACAUUGGGACUGAGAUACGGCCCAGACUCCUACGGGAGGCAGCAGCU